GUGGGGAAUAUUGGACAAUGGGGGGAACCCUGAUCCAGCCAUGCCGCGUGUGUGAAGAAGGCCUUUUGGUUGUAAAGCACUUUAAGCGAGGAGGAGGCUACCGAGAUUAAUACUCUUGGAUAGUGGACGUUACUCGCAGAAUAAGCACCGGCUAACUCUGUGCCAGCAGCCGCGGUAAUACAGAGGGUGCAAGCGUUAAUCGGAUUUACUGGGCGUAAAGCGCGCGUAGGUGGCCAAUUAAGUCAAAUGUGAAAUCCCCGAGCUUAACUUGGGAAUUGCAUUCGAUACUGGUUGGCUAGAGUAUGGGAGAGGAUGGUGGAAUUCCAGGUGUAGCGGUGAAAUGCGUAGAGAUCUGGAGGAAUACCGAUGGCGAAGGCAGCCAUCUGGCCUAAUACUGACACUGAGGUGCGAAAGCAUGGGGAGCAAACAGGAUUAGAUACCCGAGUAGUCC
rnacentral:rRNA from 1 species